rnacentral:rRNA from 1 species
UUAGAGUUUGAUCCUGGCUCAGGACGAACGCUGGCGGCAUGCCUAACACAUGCAAGUCGAACGGAGUUAUUAUUCAGAAGUUCUUCGGGAUGGAAGGAUAAGAACUUAGUGGCGGACGGGUGAGUAACGCGUGGGUAACCUGCCCUUUUGUGGGGAACAACUUCGAGAAAUCGGAGCUAAUACCGCAUAAUAAUAGAGGAUCGCAUGAUUCUUUAAGGAAAGAUGGCCUCUGAAGAUGCUAUCGCAAAAGGAUGGACCCGCGUCUGAUUAGCUAGUUGGAAGGGUAACGGCCUACCAAGGCAACGAUCAGUAGCCGGCCUGAGAGGGUGAACGGCCACAUUGGGACUGAGACACGGCCCAAACUCCUACGGGAGGCAGCAGUGGGGAAUCUUCCGCAAUGGGCGAAAGCCUGACGGAGCAAUGCCGCGUGAGUGAGGAAGGCCUUCGGGUUGUAAAACUCUGUCCUUAUCGAAGAGAGGUAGGUAUGUGAAUAAUGUACCUAUAGGACGGUAGAUAAGGAGGAAGCCCCGGCUAACUACGUGCCAGCAGCCGCGGUAAUACGUAGGGGGCGAGCGUUGUCCGGAAUCACUGGGCGUAAAGGGCGCGUAGGCGGUUUAAUAAGUCAGUGGUGAAAACUGAGGGCUCAACCCUCAGCCUGCCACUGAUACUGUUAGACUUGAGUAUGGAAGAGGAGAAUGGAAUUCCUAGUGUAGCGGUGAAAUGCGUAGAUAUUAGGAGGAACACCAGUGGCGAAGGCGAUUCUCUGGGCCAAGACUGACGCUGAGGCGCGAAAGCGUGGGGAGCAAACAGGAUUAGAUACCCUGGUAGUCCACGCCGUAAACGAUGGAUACUAGGUGUUUGUAGUUUCGAUGCUACUAGUGCCGGAGUAAACACAAUAAGUUUCCCGCCUGGGGAGUACGGUCGCAAGACUGAAACUCAAAGGAAUUGACGGGGGCCCGCACAAGCGGUGGAGCAUGUGGUUUAAUUUGACGCAACGCGAAGAACCUUACCAAGACUUGACAUCCUCCUGACAAGAUAUGUAAUGUAUCUCUUUUCUUCGGAGACAGGAGAGACAGGUGGUGCAUGGUUGUCGUCAGCUCGUGUCGUGAGAUGUUGGGUUAAGUCCCGCAACGAGCGCAACCCUUAUUUCUAGUUGCCAGCAGUAAGAUGGGGACUCUAGAGAGACUGCCAGUGACAAACUGGAGGAAGGUGGGGAUGACGUCAAAUCAUCAUGCCCCUUAUGUCUUGGGCUACACACGUGCUACAAUGGUCAGAACAGAGGGAAGCGAAGCCGCGAGGUGGAGCAAAUCCCAGAAAACUGAUCUCAGUUCGGAUUGCAGGCUGCAACCCGCCUGCAUGAAGUCGGAAUCGCUAGUAAUCGCGGGUCAGCAUACCGCGGUGAAUACGUUCCCGGGCCUUGCACUCACCGCCCGUCA